rnacentral:tRNA from 2 species
GCGCUGGUGGUGUAGUGGUAUCACAGGACCCUGCCACGGUCCUAACCCGGAUUCAAAUUCCGGCCAGCGCA